GCCUCCUCUUAUUGUUACGUUUUACAGAUGGCUAUGAGUAUGAUACCAAUUCAAUCUUCUUAAUUCUGGCUAUUUUGUAAAUAUCUGUUGUAUUAUGCUUAGCACAAAUAUGUAAUGCAGAAUCGCUAUUUUUCACAUCAUGUGCUCAGCUGCUCAAUAUGACUAACUAAAAGAUUGAAAAAUGUUUUAGGUCAUUAGUUUGUUUUUUAACUUGUGUUUUUGGAAAGUGUUCUUGUUCUGGCAAAUUAUUUGAUUAGGGCAUGGUCUGGAACACUUGUUGAGCCCUAGUGCUGGAUACAUCUAUUAGAAAUUUGUGUGCACUUUAUUUUGUGAUCACUAUUUGUAUGUUGUUAUGCUUCAGAUCUGUCUUGGUUACAUGCUAAUCCAACAAACUGUUUAUAUGGUAUUAUGGCAUGACUCUAGGAUACUAUUUUAUCUUCGGCUGAAUCACAUGAAACCAAACAAACAAUUUUAAGGCCUAUCGUUUGCUUGGCCUCUAAUAACAUUCUUCUCAUGCAUGCUAAUUUCUGCAGUUGGAGAUUUGAACCAUUUGAUCUCUGCAACCAUGAGUGGAGUGACAUGUUGCUUGAGGUUCCCUGGCCAGCUGAACUCUGACCUCCGGAAGUUGGCAGUGAACCUUAUCCCAUUCCCCCGUCUCCACUUCUUUAUGGUUGGGUUCGCCCCAUUGACCUCCCGUGGCUCCCAGCAGUACCGGUCCCUCACUGUCCCCGAGCUUACCCAGCAGAUGUGGGAUUCCAAGAACAUGAUGUGUGCUGCUGAUCCUCGCCACGGCCGCUACCUCACCGCCUCUGCC
rnacentral:lncRNA from 1 species